rnacentral:rRNA from 1 species
GAUGAACGCUAGCGGCAGGCCUAAUACAUGCAAGUCGAACGGUAAUUGGUGUAGCAAUACAUCAGCAAGAGUGACGUAAGGGUGCGUAACGAGUAUGCAAUCUGCCCUGUACAGGAGGAUAGCUCCCCGAAAGGGGAAUUAACACUCCAUAAGAUAAUAGUGUGGCAUCACACAGUUGUUAAAACUCCGGUGGUACAGGAUGAGCAUGCUUCUGAUUAGCUAGUUGGUAGUGUAACGGACUACCAAGGCGAUGAUCAGUAGGGAACUGAGAGGUUGAUCCCCCACGCUGGCACCGAGAUACGGGCCAGACUCCUACGGGAGGCAGCAGUAGGGAAUAUUGGUCAAUGGAUGCAAGUCUGAACCAGCCAUGCCGCGUGCAGGAAGAAGGCCUUCUGGGUCGUAAACUGCUUUUGCCGGGGGAUAAAAAGUCCAUGCGUGGAUAAUUGAAGGUACCCGGUGAAUAAGCCACGGCUAACUACGUGCCAGCAGCCGCCGUAA